CACCGCCUGGGGAGUACGACCGCAAGGUUAAAACUCAAAUGAAUUGACGGGGACCCGCACAAGUAGUGGAGCAUGUGGUUUAAUUCGAAGAUACGCGCAGAACCUUACCAACACUUGACAUGUUCGUCGCGACUCUAAGAGAUUAGAGUUUUCGGUUCGGCCGGACGAAACACAGGUGCUGCAUGGCUGUCGUCAGCUCGUGUCGUGAGAUGUUGGGUUAAGUCCCGCAACGAGCGCAACCCUCACUUUUAGUUGCCAUCAUUAAGUUGGGCACUCUGAAAGAACUGCCAGUGAUAAGCUGGAGGAAGGUGGGGAUGACGUCAAGUCCUCAUGGCCCUUACGUGUUGGGCUACACACGUGCUACAAUGGUAUCUACAACAGGAAGCAAAACCGCGAGGUUUAGCAAAUCUUUAAAAGAUACCUCAGUUCGGAUUGCACUCUGCAACUCGAGUGCAUGAAGCUGGAAUUACUAGUAAUCGUGGAUCAGCGUGCCACGGUGAAUGCGUUCCCGGGUCUUGUACACACCGCCCGUCACACCAUGGGAGUUGGUUCUACCUUAAGGCAAGGUUUUAAACCCUUGACCACGGUAUAGUCAGCGACUGGGGUGAAGUCGUAACAAGGUAGCCGUAGGGGAACCUGCGGCUGGAUUACCUCCUUUCUAAGGAUGAGUAAAAAAUUUUUUUUGCUCUAAAUAAUAAACAGGUUAAUGUUGACCGUCCUCAUUUCUCUUCUUAAAACAGUGUUUCUCUUGCAUGGGGGCCGGUAGCUCAGUUGGUUAGAGCACACCCUUGAUAAGGGUGGGGUCGAAAGUUCGAGUCUUUCUCGGCCCACCAAAUCAAUGAUUAAGGGGGAUUAGCUCAGCUGGGAGAGCGCCUGAUUUGCAUUCAGGAGGUCAGCGGUUCGAUCCCGCUAUCCUCCACCAAACACUUAGUUAUUUAAAUUGUGAAUAAAAUAAUAAUUAAUAUCAAUAUCUAUAUCCGAACAUUAGUAAUGUUAUUAGCUAAUGUUCAAAUAAAAAUUUGAUUCAACACAGAAUUUUUUUCUG
rnacentral:sRNA from 1 species